GACGAACGCUGGCGGCGUGCUUAACACAUGCAAGUCGAACGGAAAGGCCCUGCUUUUGUGGGGUGCUCGAGUGGCGAACGGGUGAGUAACACGUGAGUAACCUGCCCUUGACUUUGGGAUAACUUCAGGAAACUGGGGCUAAUACCGGAUAGGAGCUCCUGCUGCAUGGUGGGGGUUGGAAAGUUUCGGCGGUUGGGGAUGGACUCGCGGCUUAUCGGCUUGUUGGUGGGGUAGUGGCUUACCAAGGCUUUGACGGGUAGCCGGCCUGAGAGGGUGACCGGCCACAUUGGGACUGAGAUACGGCCCAGAAUCCUACGGGAGGCAGCAGUGGGGAAUAUUGCACAAUGGGCGGAAGCCUGAUGCAGCAACGCCGCGUGCGGGAUGACGGCCUUCGGGUUGUAAACCGCUUUCGCCUGUGACGAAGAGGGAGUGACGGUAAUGGGUAAAGAAGCACCGGCUAACUACGUG
rnacentral:rRNA from 1 species